GAUAACAUGGCGACGCGGUGCCGCAGCGCGAAGUGCGCGGCGGAAAGAAGGGGCGUGCGCAGAGAGCUCGAGACGUGGAGACACAAGCUCAUCGCCUGCGUGGGGUUUGAGAGCAUUCUGGAAGGAAUUUAUGGGCCAAGACUGCUGCAGGACCUCAGCAUAUUUGAUGACUGCGAGCCUGAGGCUGUCUCUGAUUGGUCUACUGAUGCUUUCUGCCCCUUCUGUAACCUGCAGUUAGAGAAACUUACCGAACACGUGCCCGUGUCGCCGCCCCCCGCCGAAACCCCCCCACCUCAGGGCCUGACCACCUCGGAAAAACUCCAGUGCCAAGCAGACCAAUUUCUUCAUGCAGUUUUUCAUAAAAAAGAAUUCCCAGAGAGUUGUGAUCCUAGUAUACCAUUGGCAGCGCAGGAGUUGAUGCGUAAGAUGAUUCGUCAGUUUGCGAUUGAAUACGCCUGUAAGAUCCAGCCUGAGGGUCCAGAGGGUCCCAACGCCAGCCAGGUUGAUCUCCCUAAACACAGCGAGCUCGACGGUCCCCUGGACCUGACCAUCAGCCGCGUCACCCACUGCCCGGACAUCGCUGUAAGCCGAGCCAUGCACUGCCCACAGCAAGCAGAUGGUGUUCUUGACCUUUCAAAGAAAAACACAUCUGUAAAAGUGCUGAAUUCUCAGAAUGUUUCGCGUUCUUUGGUGACUGUGGAUGAGGACCAGUGCAGAAUGGAAGAGGAAAAGGAAGAACCAGAGGAGUGGAGAGGAACAGUGUUGGAGAAGGUCUUGUCUUCACUCUGCUCUUAUCACAGAACGCUUCUGAUCCGCAUCCUGCAGGACAUGCGGGAGCACUAUAGCAUUGUAUUAGCUCUGAGAGAUGCUCACAGGCGGAUGGCUAAAACUGAGCUUUACUGCUGUCCUGCUGAAGGGAAAUCUCCCAGUGAUCCUUUAACCUGCUCGCUAGGUAACUGCGCAGCAGCUGGUUGUGCUAGCUGUUUAACUGCAUGUGGACUUAGAACAUGUGCACUUACCUCCAUUUGUAUCUGUAUGAAGACCCUCGGUGGUCUCACUUGCCAAAACCUUGCACCUGGAUGUGUCGGCAAAGUCAUUUGUCCGAGCUCUACUGUUUGCUGUGCUCAUCAUAAAAUACUACUGUGCCAGCACAACAGUGAAAGUGUGUGCAUUGCACAUGCAAGCAAUGUGUUGAGUGUCCAUAUCAAACGUCCCAGCACUCUAAAUUCUUGUCUAACUUGCCGUAGCCCCUCCCCACCCCCACUCUCGCCAAAGCCGGUGGAUGUGGAAUGUAAAACGGGUGACCAAACGGUCAGCUGUAAAGGUGAGGAGUUUGCAGCACUAAGCAAACCUCCACCUCUUCUACCUCACCAAACUGAGGCUGAAGAUGAAGAUAAAGCUCUACAAUCGGGAGAAUCUGCCACUCCUCUAGUUAAAGAUGAUUCUGAAGAUGACAAACAUCACUGUGGAUCCUUUUUAGGUGAUCUAAUGGACAAAUUUACUGAAAAACUAAAGAACAUCCAACCAGCUGAGAGAGAGCAAACUCCGCAGACCGCUCAUGCGGGUCAAAACUCAAAAGCAUGUGACGAUACACACUUGACAGAGAUUAUAACCACAGUGUUGCACAGCAGCUGUGACAAAGAAUAUGACCUGAAGGAGCUCUUUGAGCAGCGCAUGGCUACGGAACAGAGGUCCCCUCAGACGCGCUCUCGUCGGAGACAGGAAGUGUUGGCUGCCAUGAGCAAAUCCCCUGACAUUUCAGCAUCCCGCAGACAGAGCUUACAGAUCAAACGAGACCUUGCACGGCUCGACCCUUCUGCCUGUAGAAAGAAGGUGGGGCUGGACAAAAGCAAGUGUCCAAAGAAUGCCCAGGCCCAUAAUGAGCCUUCAGAAGAGUCCACUUCUCCAGAAAGUCUAUCUGAGAUGGAGCCCGUAAACGAAUUCUCGGACACUCAAAACAGUGAACGGUGCAGGUUAACUUCAGAAACGCAAAACCUUCAGCAGGAAAACCAACCUGCUGUCUUGCCGGAAAUUCCACACUGCAAUGAAACGGACCUUUCUCAAAUGGAUAUUUCUCACACAAAGGCAAUAGCAAAGUCCCACCAGGACAAAAGUCAAAUGUUUCAUCCAAUUGGCAAAAUUGAAAGGUCCAGGAGAAAUAUUGUUCGUCCUCAGCGUUUCUCUUCCUAUGUAACAGAGCCCCGGAAGAUGUACUAUGCUGCCUGUUUUUCUGAGAGCAUAUUCAUCAAACAUUCUCCCAGCAUUAAUUCUACAACUAAACAUGAAUCUGCGAAGAUUAGCAUGUCUACUGAAACUGACACUGAACAUUCAAUCAAAACUGAAACACAAGAUCAUAUGAUGCAUCCAUCAAGCCACACAUCAAUUGACUCACCUAAGAAAAGAAGAUGUGAAGAUGAGAGUGGUGAAAACGGCCAGUCUAGAACAAAAUGUCAGGAAGAUUACACAACACCAACAAAACGGUUGAAAUCCUGUGGAGGCAAGAGUGUAGUGGAAUCUCAGAGUCCUGGGUUAAUUCAGGGUCAGUCUACUGAUACAGAAAGCCUAGAGGACACUAAGGAGUGUAGUUUAAAGUAUGUUAGUCCCAUAAAGCUCAUGCUGGUGUCUCCUGUGAAGGGUGAAAAUGGGAUCAAAUACACACUCAAAGCUGCAGACUCUGGAACAAACUCUCAUGGAGAAAUGUUUGAUCCUUGUGUUGAAGCUUCGUGGGCAGGCAGUGCCAUAAAUGAGCAAGCCCUGGAUAAAGAUUUGCAAACAGAUUCAGUGCAGGAUGUUGAGUUUGGUGGGACUGACAUCAAACUACCAGAAGAAAGUGUAUGCACCGCUAAGACUGGUUUAUUCAGUCAUGGAAUUGGGACUGGUGAGGCUUUACCAACUGUGCAUGAAACGACUCCUGUUAAGAGACGUCCUGGAAGGCCCAAAAAGUUAGGACCACAGAUUGAAAAAGCAGUGAAACGUCCCAUUGGCAGACCCCCUAAAGCCAAGGCUGGAGACCCAAAUAGCAUGAAUAGUAAAAAUGUAAAUCACACAGCAAGUGAAAAGUCAAGUGAAGAUGAUGUCAACAAAAGUCUGAAAAUAACUAUCAUGUAUGGGAGGUCAAGAAAAGCCAGGAGAGUGGUAUCUGAGGACAUGGGGCAUCUUUCCACCAACCAGCCUGCUUAUGAUGUCCUUAAUAGUGUUGCAAGUAUUGAGACAAGUAUCAGUGGAGAUUCUAUACUUAAUGCAGCCAAAAAUCAGUUAGAAGAUCUAAAUUUUGUAAUGCCUGUGGAAGACAAGAAAGGCUGUGUCCAUUCAAGCAGUAACAUAAAAUGCCAAAAGCAAAGUGAUCAGACAGUAACAAGAAAACCAGGAAGGCCACCUAAGGUCAAGAUCUCUGGAAUUUCUGUCACUGUUACCACAGUAUCACCAAGGCAACGCAAAAUUCACAUGAAAAGAGACAUGAAGGACUCACCUCUACAGCGAAGGGCGCUUUCAAUGGAAUUUGAACCUUCCAAAGAGAAGAUGACAAUCGGUGAACAUACUGAUGGUGCCUUCAGAGAUGGAGUGGGUACCAUGGAAGAAAGCACAGAGAGUCCCAGGGACAUCAUUCGUGCCUGUUAGACAUUCUGUAAGGGAGCGCAAACCCUCUAUUCAUCUGCUGCACUCAGUUGCUACAGCUAGAUCCUUUAGUCGUAGCAAUGCACUGAUUUGUAGGUCACACAAGCUGCUUAUGAGCAAGACUAACCACCAGACACAUCAGCGCAGGCCCGAGGUGGCUGCCAAUAAUGCACUUUCCAAAAAGAAGGUCAGUCAUAUGAAAAAUGUUGUUCGUUUUUCUGGGGUUUCUGUAGACUCUAUCUUUGCAUCAAAUGACAGCCUCAAGUGGUGGCCCAUCAGUGCAUCACAUGAGACCAUAAGUGAAGAGUUGGCCAGAAGGAUCAGAAUGAUGUCUGACACAUGGGUUUCGGAUGUCUCUGAGGUAAAAAAGUCAGAAGUGAUUAAAACAAAACAGAAUCCAAUUCCAUGUGAAAAGGUCACCAGUUCUGAUAAGAGGUCCUCUGUGGUAAAAAUACUGUUUGAGAGAAACUACAGUAUGGAAAAGGUUUGCUCCUGGUUUAUGCAGACCACAGAGACUCAGUCCUUGGCAAUUGUGAAGAAAGCCAAUGCAAGAAAUCCCUUUGAGAUCUCUCAUUACAAUUCCAUAAGAUCCACUUGCAGAGAGGAUGUUUGCCCUAGCUCACAAGCAGAUCGACUCAGGAAGCAUGUCAAGAAAUUUGCAAAAGUUCUCCCAAAGAGUCCAAGAAUGCAUCAGCAGGCACAAGCGACAAUGUAUAAACCAAGGAGGUUUUUUGCCAAACAGUACCUUUUUAGCCCAUCAAAAGUUACAUUGAUGCACACUGAUGGGCAGAAAACAUCCAGGUCUGGUGGAUCAUGGGGGGUCUACAGAACAGCUUUGCUCAGAGCAAGGUCCAAGUUCAAAACCAUGGCAAGGAAAAGUUCAUUGAAUGAGGCACAACUUAAAAACCACCUGGGAAUUAGUUGUGAGACAACAGAUUUAUCAAAAGAAAUGCCUACCUCAGAAAAGAAAGUGCAGAAUGCAUCAGGUAUCGCAGAAAGCAAACUGUGUAAGGUUGAAGCUUUCGAGAAGACAGUGGGCAUCACUGGCAUCUCCAAGGAGGAGACAAUUAGCUCUAAAGCGUGGAGUCCAGAGACACUGAAGGAGUGCCGGGUGUUUCUAAAAAAGAUAAACUCUCCAAGCACAAAAUCAGUGACUGGAGAAUGUAACAUUUGCACAGUGAAAUUCAAUAUAUCACCUGCGGGGUGUGAUGUAUCUAUGGAACAAAAGAGCAGUGAAACCACUAAGUUGGGGAAGACAUUUAGUUCUCCGAGGAAAUCCGUCUUGUUUCGGAUGAACCAGAAAAAGUCAGAAAAAAAGCGCAGAAGUUCCCGCACAAGCGAGUUGCCUCCCGCAAAAAUGACACGACAAUCAAGGAGCAGCAGGGGUGUUCUGGGAGCAAGGUGGUGCGAUUUUGUACUUGGACCAUCCAAAUAACUGAGGAUCUUUGGGUUUCUUAGCAGGAGUGUACGUAGAACCCAAACAUACGGUGCCUUUAAGAACGGACUGGCUGAAAAAUCAAGAGCAUUAAGACACGCACGCAACCUCAGCAAGCAACAUGUAGCAAAAGACUUUAAUUAUAAGAACUUGCACUAUCUAAUCUUAUAUGUUAAUUUUAUAUCUAUAAACAUGCCCCUUUUUACUGUUUGAAACAUCCCUGAUUUUAUUAUUGCAGAGAACCAAGAAACUCUUACAAGAUGUUUAAGGAGUGUCAGAAAGUGUGCAAAGUGUUUCUGUUUGAUUUUUUAAAAGUCUCUAAUACUGGAGUAUUGUAUCAGCAUUGAGUGAUAUACUGUAACUACAACUCAAACUUUGGACUAUUACUGAGAAAAAGGAUUUUUCCAAUCCUUUUUCUAAAUUCUACAUUUUUACAUAUACAUUUUUUUCAGCAUGCAAGUGCUCUACAUACGUCAGAAAUACCAGUUUAUCUCCCAAUUCUCAAAUUACUAACAUAUGAACCUUUUGGGCUAAUUUAGUUUGGUGAUUGGGUUCCUAACAUUUUGGCCUAUUGCAGUUUUCCAGUGUUCAGUAAAACAUCAAAUCCUCAAUUACAGUAAAAUCCAAAAGAAAAACUGCUAGAAGUGACCUUUCAUUUGAUUUGAUGUAGAAAUGGUACCUACUGUCCUGUCCUCUAGUGCCAGUUCUGAGGAACUCUGUUAGUCAUAAAGAUUAUGUGAAUUUUUUUCUGAAGCAUUAAUUCAACUUUAUAUUGUGUUGCACUACAAAACUGUUACUUUUUUAUGUACAUACAUAACAGACUGCCACUGUUGUACAAAUUAUUCCUUUGGUGCAAUGUUUUACCUUCUUAAGCAGAGAUGUUAAGGACUUGGCUAUUUUAUUAAAAGCUUUUAGGUAAUUUACAAACCAGCUUUUCUUUUUCUUUUUUUUUUCUUUUCAAAUACAAAAGAUUCAUGUGUAAAUGCAAGCUAUUGUGUUUGUUUAUUGCAGUGUGAUUCUUAUCUCUCGAAAUCCAGUUUAAACUAUCAAAUCCAAACUCUAACAAAACUACUUCAUGCCCAGUAUAAACUGUAUCAAAUCUAGUAUAAACUGUUUCCGGUGCAGUCCAAACUAUCAAAUCCAAUCUAAACCUUUUAAAGUCCAGUGUUAAUUGUACCAAAUCCGGUAUAAACAGUUUCAAAUCAGGUCUAAACUGUUUUGAUUCAGUCAAAGCUAUCUUAUUUAGUCUAAACUACUGCAGAUUCAGUCAAAACUAUUAAAUCCAGUCUAAACCGUUUCAGAUUGUCCAUCUCCAACACAACCACCCUGCUCCACCCCCCCAACGGCUGGUUUCCAAUCAUUUGGAUCCACAAACAGAUUUUACACAAACACUCUCCUGUUUAAGCUAGUUACAUCAACAGUUUACCGUUUUAUAUGGCCUCAACCUGCUUCCAAAUCAAGCUCUAAACGUGGCAGUGGCUUUGGCACGUCUGGGAGAAAGUCUGACAACCAAAAGCCUUAAAAAGUAAAGACACCAUAAAGCUGGUCAGCUGUUUAAAUUGGAGUUCGUUUGGGGAAACUGCCUUUACUGUCUGUGAAAUGUCUCAGUAGGAAAGUUAUAAGUAGUCAGUUAUAGAAUUAUUUUGGGCUGUUGGAUAGAAAUGGAACUGAGAGGUUCUCUGAAUGUGAUCUGGUGCUAUAUCUUUGGGGUGUGUAUAUAUACACACUCAUUUGCCUUUAUGUAAUAGUGUCAUGUCACUAAAACAAUAAAAAUGUUUGAACCAGU